rnacentral:rRNA from 1 species
CGGGAUGGAAGAUGGCGAGAAAAGCUGUGUGUAUUUCUGCGGUGCCCGUACCGCAAACCGACACAGGUAGGUAGGAAGAAGAUUCUAAGGCCAACGGGAGAAGGGUUGUUAAGGAACUCGGCAAAUUGACCCCGUAACUUCGGGAGAAGGGGUGCUGCAGCAAUGCAGCCGCAGAGAAUCGGCCCAAGCAACUGUUUACCAAAAACACAGGUUUGUGCUAAAUCGAAAGAUGACGUAUACGAGCUGACGCCUGCCCGGUGCUGGAAGGUUAAGAGGAGAUGUGCAAGCAUUGAAUCGAAGCCCCAGUGAACGGCGGCCGUAACUAUAACGGUCCUAAGGUAGCGAAAUUCCUUGUCAGGUAAGUUCUGACCCGCAUGAAAGGCGUAAUGAUUUGGGCACUGUCUCAACAGCCCGCCCGGCGAAAUUGUAGUACCGGUGAAGAUGCCGGUUACCCGCGACAAGACGGAAAGACCCCAUGGAGCUUUACUGUAGCCUAAUAUUGGGUUUCGAUGUUGCAUGCACAGGAUAGAUGGGACACUGGGAAGCAGGUGCUUUGGCGCUUGUGGAGUGGCCGUUGGGAUACCAUCCUUGCGAUAUUGGAAUUCUAACCUGCGCCUUUGAAUCAAGGCGGGGGACAUUGUUAGGUGGGCAGUUUGACUGGGGCGGUCGCCUCCUAAAGAGUAACGGAGGCGUUCAAAGGUUCGCUCAGCUUGAACGGAAAUCAAGCAAAAGAGUGCAAACGCAGAAGCGAGCCUAACUGCGAGACUGACGGGUCGAGCAGUAACGAAAGUUGGAGUUAGUGAUCCGGUGGUAUGUGAGUGGAAAUGCCAUCGCUCAACGGAUAAAAGUUACCCUGGGGAUAACAGGCUGAUCUCCCCCAAGAGUCCACAUCGACGGGGAGGUUUGGCACCUCGAUGUCGGCUCAUCGCAUCCUGGGGCUGUAUUCGGUCCCAAGGGUUUGGCUGUUCGCCAAUUAAAGCGGUACGCGAGCUGGGUUCAGAACGUCGUGAGACAGUUCGGUCCCUAUCUGUCGUGGGCGCAGGAUAUUUGAUGGGAGCUGUUCCUAGUACGAGAGGACCGGAGCGGACGUACCUCUGGCGCACCAGUUGUUCUGCCAAGAGCAUAGCUGGGCAACUAUGUACGGAUCGGAUAAACGCUGAAAGCAUCUAAGCGUGAAGCCGACCCAAAGAUAAGAUAUCCCAUUGUUUCAAACAAGUAAGACCCCUUGAAGACUACAAGGUUGAUAGGCACGAUGUGUAAGUGGAGUGAUCCAUUCAGCAAGCGUGUACUAAUAGGUCGAGGGCUUGACCA